rnacentral:lncRNA from 1 species
GGCCCUCCGGCCUCCGACCGAGCGGUGCAGAGCAUGCUGGGAGAUCACUUCCACCUGAGGAGCACAAAAGACCCCAGGAGUGGAGGAAGCUGGCCUGAGGCCAACCGGAUGUAGCAGACUUGCUGGGCCCAAGGAGGGAGGUCUGGUGAUGGAGCCUCGAGUACAUAUCCUUCCAAUCCUAAGAAAGAGGAUAGAUUGCCACAUGCCGGAACUGGAGUCUUGGCUUUCGAAAGAUCUUUUCCAUUACCUCUGCAGCAAGAAUGACGUCUUCUAAAGACUCAGGAUGGCCUCUAAUCUUCAUGGUCUAAUUCCCUGAUCCUCCAACCAGGAGGCCCCCCCAGGCCUGACAGAAGUGUUUGUAAAGGUAAGAACAGCUUUUAGCUUUGCAUGCUUUUGUGGGAUCAAUGUUCUAUCCCUCUUAUGCCUACAGAGGGCCACUUUCUCUGAGAACUAUGGUGAAAUUGUUCAGCAGCAGUUAAUACACACACACACACACACACACACACACACACACACUCUUUCUAUUUCUAUCCAAGGCAAAGAAAAGUGAAUACCCCAGGGAAAGGACCCGGGUAAACAGUAAUGAUGAUUGGACUGUUCCCCACUUGCUUUUGCUGGAGAGAACCAUCUACAGUCUGUUUGUUCAUUCCACCCUAAAUCUUCCUGUGAGGAAGAAAAUGCAGGGAUUAUUUAUCUUUUUGUAGUAUGGAGAAACUGAAGUUAAGUGGCUCCCUAAGGCCAUAGAGGACAGUGCCUACCAGGGCAGUGUUUGGAGUCAG